AGUCGGGGAUAACCUGGAGAAAUCCAGAAUAAUACUCGAUGGUCCCGUAAGGGUAAAGAUUUAUCGCUCUUUGAAUGGCCUGCGUUCUAUCAGCUUGAUGGUAAGGUAACGGCUUACCAUGGCUAUGACGGAUAGGGGAGGUGAGAGCCUGACCCCCACCGAUGGUACUGAGACACGGACCAUACACCUACGGGUGGCCGCAGUCGAGAAUCUUCCGCAAUGGACGCAAGUCUGACGGAGCGACGUCGCGUGAUCGAUGAAGUCUCUAGGGAUGUAAAGAUCUUUUAUGAGGGAGGAAAAAUUUGACGUUACCUCAUGAAUAAGGGGUUGCUAAACUCGUGCCAGCAGCAGCGGUGAUACGAGUGCCCCAAGCGUUAUCCGGAAUUAUUGGGCGUAAAGGGUCCGCAGGCGGAUCUAUUAGUCGAUUGUUAAAGCUCCUGGCUCAACCGGGAAAAUGCAAUCGAAACGGUAGAUCUAGAGGGUGUGAGAGGUGUACAGAACUCAUGGUGUAGGGGUGAAAUCCGUUGAUAUCAUGGGGAAUACCGAAAGCGAAGGCAGUACACUGGCACAUUCCUGACGCUCAGGGACGAAAGCGUGGGUAGCGAAGGGGAUUAGAUACCCCCGUAGUCCACGCCCUAAACGAUCCUGACUAGAUUUGGGGAGUAUCGACCCUCUCCGAGUCGUAGCUAACGCGUUAAGUCAGGCGCCUGGGUAGUACGGCCGCAAGGCUAAAACUCAAAGGAAUAGACGGGGACUUGCACAAGCAGUGGAUUAUGUGGUUUAAUUCGAUGACAAACGAAGAACCUCACCCGGGUUAGAAACCCAGGCGAAUAUUCUAGGAAACUAGGAUAGUCCCACAAGGACGCCUGGGCAGGUGAUGCAUGGCCGUCGUCAGUUCGUGGUUUGAAUUGUUCCCUUAAGUGGGGUAACGAACGCAACCCUCGUUGCCUGUUACAAGUGUCAGGCGAGACUGCUCCCUCACGGGAGAGGAAGGUGAGGAUGACGCCAGGUCAGCAUGUCCCUUGAUGCCUUGGGCUGCACUCGUGAUACAAUGGGAAGUACAACGGGACGCAAUACAGUAAUGUGGAGCAAAUCCUUAUAAAACUUUCCUCAGUUCGGAUUGUGGGCUGCAACUCGCCCACAUGAAGCCGGAAUCGC
rnacentral:rRNA from 1 species